GGAAACUGUCAGCUCAUCAUUCCCAGAUGUUCUAAUCAGCUCUAGUUAAAAUACUUGAACAUUUUUAACCAAAGAUUAUCAUAACUGAGGAUUACGUAGCUCUGAUGGUGAGACCAUGCCAAAGUGCGUGAUGUGUGUGUUGCAUACCAGAACGAAAAAGAGCAGCAGAUCUGAGCACUGGCACCAGCCUGUGAAAAGCUGUAUUGCACAAGGGAAAACAAAAGCAGCCCAGCUCCCUCUGCAGUGAGUGACAUCCUAUGGUGUGAUCUGAAACUCUGCUAAAGGAGAGUGCGCUUAGGAAAGGGAAAGUGAAGCUAUUGGUGAGACUCAUUGCACCAGGCUCUUAUGAAAUCAGAUAGAUUAAUAGAAUAUGGUGUUAUAAUGGUUUUGGUUUAUGAUAUGAGAGAGUUCAUGGGAGAGCUAAACAGCCUGUGCUUUAAGAAAACAUCAUCAGAUAGAAGUAUAAGAGCCUCCUGCUUCCUCUCCAACAUCGCAUGGAUUCCACGCUUGAAACAGUGAGCACCUUCUCCAUGUAAAAAACUCUGAAAAUUGCGGGUCAAAGAUCACCUCACUUCUUGCAGUCGUUGAGUAGUCUGGAAGUGCAAAAUGGCAAGAAUAGCAGUUUGUGUUUGGGAACAUACUGCUAAGGAAGAACAUGAGUGUUUGAGAAGGAUAUUCCAGAUGAAGAAGAACAACUUGCCAGUGGACUGCUGAGGCAUCUCUAGAGACUUGCAUUGGAAGGAAGAGGGAGUUUUCUGCAAGAAAUGGAAAAGUAUGUCUGAACAACUGAGGCUGGAAAUGGAGAACAUGUCUUGGAGUUCCCUGCACAAGAUUCCUGUUUCCAGUCUCACUGUGUCUGGCUGUCCUUGGAGCACUCAUGCCCGUUGCAGUGAGCAGAAGGGAGCCCUGGUUGGGUGCUGUUCUGAGCAUACAGGGCCACUGGUGUCCCUACAGCAGUAUGGCAGAGCACUGCAUCAGCCUUGCUCACAGCUGGGAGGAGGACAGCCUCACCAGCAGCCUGAGCAGGAGUGAGGAGAAGGGAAGUUUUGUGCUCUUCACACUGCAGGCGAAACAUCUUUGCAUGAACUCUGCGAAAAGGUUAUUAACAUCCUGCAGCAAAGGCAUCACUUCAGCCUAAACAUUUGUGGAAGAAAUAAACUCUACAUGAAAACUGAAUGUAAUUAAGUCUUACAUUCAGGACCCUGAUGAGUGA
rnacentral:lncRNA from 1 species